AGAUGGAGGGAGCGAAAAUGGAAGUUCGGCGUCAUAUCAGAUGAUGUCGCUCGCAACUUUUUUCACCUGUUGAUGAAUUUCCCGCAGUAGGGACAUUCCAACGACAUUGAUUCAACCUCUACACCAUCCCACUUCCCAUCAACAGCUUCAACAACUCUUCUAUUGUUUAUCUUAUUGUUUCUUAAUCCAACCAAUUCAUAUUCACAAUCCCCAAUUCGAAUCUGGCCAAAGAUUUUUUUAUUCUCUGUUUCCAUGAUCCAAACGCUUCUUCACUUCACCCCCACAUACCCUUUUCUUCAUUUCACACUCUCUUUCUCUCUUCCUUAGCUUCCCUUUUCGACCCUUAACUCAUUGCCCUCAGUUUCUCCGAUGUAUUACCGUCCGUCCGGUAAUCGAGAGGAAGGGAUUGAUGAAAAGACGAUGACCCUUUUCCCCCUUUGACUCCGUUCUUAUCUGAACGAUGAAUAAAUGAUUGGAGAACAUGAAGGUGCUGAUCUCUGGUUCCCAGUCCAUUGAAUCUUUUGAACUGGUGAAUGUGUUUUUGAGCUAGGUUGAAUCCUCGAGAUAUUAGAGAACUUGGGGGUCAUCUGGUAACCAUGGUAGAAGGUAAUGACACAUUGAAAAGAUCACAGACGGCCUAUAAAGAGGCAUUGGAUGCAUUAUUCUCGUUGAUUGUCAACCGGAGAUGCUGUGAUAAAUCUGGGGAUCGAUUUUAGUUGAUGUUUGAGUACGUAAAGAUGCUUGAUUUGGAGGAGUCCAUGUCGCAAAUGAAGGUCAUUCAUGCAGCUGGCACCAAAGGCAAGGUCCAGACGCCCAUUGCGCUUGGUAUAGCUUCUCUGGGUUAUGAUCACAU